ACGAAGGGUGCAAGCGUUACUCGGAAUCACUGGGCGUAAAGCGUGCGUAGGCGGUUUCUUAAGUCUGUCGUGAAAGCCCUGGGCUCAACCUGGGAAUGGUGAUGGAUACUGGGAAGCUAGAGUGUGAUAGAGGAUGGUGGAAUUCCCGGUGUAGCGGUGAAAUGCGUAGAGAUCGGGAGGAACACCAGUGGCGAAGGCGGCCAUCUGGAUCAACACUGACGCUGAGGCACGAAAGCGUGGGGAGCAAACAGGA
rnacentral:rRNA from 1 species